AACGCUAGCUACAGGCUUAACACAUGCAAGUCGAGGGGAAACGAUAUUGGAAGCUUGCUUCCGAUAGGCGUCGACCGGCGCACGGGUGAGUAACGCGUAUCCAACCUGCCCACCACUUGGGGAUAACCUUGCGAAAGUAAGACUAAUACCCAAUGACGUCUCUAGAAGACAUCUGAAAGGGAUUAAAGAUUUAUCGGUGAUGGAUGGGGAUGCGUCUGAUUAGCUUGUUGGCGGGGUAACGGCCCACCAAGGCGACGAUCAGUAGGGGUUCUGAGAGGAAGGUCCCCCACAUUGGAACUGAGACACGGUCCAAACUCCUACGGGAGGCAGCAGUGAGGAAUAUUGGUCAAUGGGCGAGAGCCUGAACCAGCCAAGUAGCGUGCAGGAAGACGGCCCUAUGGGUUGUAAACUGCUUUUAUAAGGGAAUAAAGUUAGUCUCGUGAGACUUUUUGCAUGUACCUUAUGAAUAAGGACCGGCUAAUUCCGUGCCAGCAGCCGCGGUAAUACGGAAGGUCCGGGCGUUAUCCGGAUUUAUUGGGUUUAAAGGGAGCGUAGGCCGGAGAUUAAGCGUGUUGUGAAAUGUAGACGCUCAACGUCUGCACUGCAGCGCGAACUGGUUUCCUUGAGUACGCACAAAGUGGGCGGAAUUCGUGGUGUAGCGGUGAAAUGCUUAGAUAUCACGAAGAACUCCGAUUG
rnacentral:rRNA from 1 species